CCUACGGGCGGCAGCAGUGAGGAAUAUUGGUCAAUGGGCGAGAUCCUGAACCAGCCAAGCCGCGUGAGGGAAGACGGCCCUAUGGGUUGUAAACCUCUUUUGUCGGAGAACACAACCCGGGACGUGUCCCGGACGGCCUGUCUCCGAAGAAAAAGCAUCGGCUAACGCGGUGCACGCAGCCGCGGUAAUACGGGGGUUUCGAGGGUUAUCCGGGUUUAUUGGGUUAAAAGGGUGCGUCGGCGGUACGUUAAGUCAGCGGUAAAAUGGCGGGGCUCAACCCCGUCGAGCCGUUGAAACUGGCAGACUUGAGUUGGCGAGAAGUACGCGGAAUGCGCGGUGUAGCGGUGAAAUGCAUAGAUAUCGCGCAGAACUCCGAUUGCGAAGGCAGCGUACCGGCGCCAGACUGACGCUGAGGCACGAAAGCGUGGGGAUCGAACAGGAUUAGAUACCCUGGUAGUC
rnacentral:rRNA from 1 species